GAUGGUCGUGUUUGAACGGAGGCCUUCUGGACAGGAAAAUAUGGAGAGUGCAUGCUUUGGAUUCAAGACUGGGAAUGAGGGACCAGAAACCUGUUCUGUGGCUGUUUGUUGUUAGGACUUUCCUAAGCCUCUGGAAAAGUGCAAAGUACAAUUAACAUUUGAGUCUGUCUGAGUCAUGAAGAAAUGGAGAUUACUGAAAAUAAUUCAUUUUGGUAUCGUCUUACAUCCUGAGAGACUAAUCUUUCCAAGUUCAUCUGAGGCUCCUCUUCUCCAUGACAACCUCAUCCAGGGAUUUCUUCCUGUCCUGGUGUUUUAUGACAUAAUCACAUCCUUCCUGAGAUAAUGAGCACACAAUUGCCUGGAUACCUGAAGGAAUGGAGACAGUGGCAGAAAACACUGCAGAGAGGUGGAAACAUCCGUUAAUAUUUUAAAUCCAUUACUGCUACCAACAAUAAUAACAGAUGCAUAGAAAUAGAUCUGGAUUAGCUGAGCUUGAAACAGUCCAUCUCACACACACCAAAAGAAUCAGGUAAUGAGGAAAAGAAAAGGAAAAAAAAUAACACAUGGCCUCUGUACAUGUUGCUUUUGAACCUUACUGGAUUUGUGGCAAACUGGGGUGAUUUUGGGACAUGAGUCUCCUGCCACUCACCUGCCUCUGAGCUCUCCUCUGAGGCCGAUCAGUGCCCAGAAGGGAUGCACCUGUCUUCUGUCCUCGUCUCUGGGUAGCCCCUGGGUCAGCAUUUUGGGGUGCUAGCAUUUGAUGCACCUGCUACAGU
rnacentral:lncRNA from 1 species